rnacentral:rRNA from 1 species
GCAAGUCGAGCGGCAGCACAGGUACUUGUACCGGGUGGCGAGCGGCGGACGGGUGAGUAAUGCCUAGGAAUCUGCCUGGUAGUGGGGGAUAACGCUCGGAAACGGACGCUAAUACCGCAUACGUCCUACGGGAGAAAGCAGGGGACCUUCGGGCCUUGCGCUAUCAGAUGAGCCUAGGUCGGAUUAGCUAGUUGGUGGGGUAAUGGCUCACCAAGGCGACGAUCCGUAACUGGUCUGAGAGGAUGAUCAGUCACACUGGAACUGAGACACGGUCCAGACUCCUACGGGAGGCAGCAGUGGGGAAUAUUGGACAAUGGGCGAAAGCCUGAUCCAGCCAUGCCGCGUGUGUGAAGAAGGUCUUCGGAUUGUAAAGCACUUUAAGUUGGGAGGAAGGGCAGUUGCUUAAUACGUGACUGUUUUGACGUUACCGACAGAAUAAGCACCGGCUAACUCUGUGCCAGCAGCCGCGGUAAUACAGAGGGUGCAAGCGUUAAUCGGAAUUACUGGGCGUAAAGCGCGCGUAGGUGGUUUGUUAAGUUGAAUGUGAAAUCCCCGGGCUCAACCUGGGAACUGCAUCCAAAACUGGCAAGCUAGAGUAUGGUAGA